AGUGAACGCUGGCGGUAGGCCUAACACAUGCAAGUCGAACGGCAGCACAGUAAGAGCUUGCUCUUACGGGUGGCGAGUGGCGGACGGGUGAGGAAUACAUCGGAAUCUACUUUUUCGUGGGGGAUAACGUAGGGAAACUUACGCUAAUACCGCAUACGACCUACGGGUGAAAGCAGGGGAUCUUCGGACCUUGCGCGAUUGAAUGAGCCGAUGUCGGAUUAGCUAGUUGGCGGGGUAAAGGCCCACCAAGGCGACGAUCCGUAGCUGGUCUGGGAGGAUGAUCAGCCACACUGGAACUGAGACACGGUCCAGACUCCUACGGGAGGCAGCAGUGGGGAAUAUUGGACAAUGGGCGCAAGCCUGAUCCAGCCAUACCGCGUGGGUGAAGAAGGCCUUCGGGUUGUAAAGCCCUUCUGUUGGGAAAGAAAAGCAGCAGGUUAAUACCCCGCUGUUCUGACGGUACCCAAAGAAUAAGCACCGGCUAACUUCGUG
rnacentral:rRNA from 1 species